rnacentral:rRNA from 1 species
AUUGAACGCUGGCGGCAGGCCUAACACAUGCAAGUCGAGCGAGAGGCGGACGGUUGAGUAAUGUCUGGGAAACUGCCUGAUGGAGGGGGAUAACUACUGGAAACGGUAGCUAAUACCGCAUACCAUCAGAUGUGCCCAGAUGGGAUUAGCUCGUAGGUGGGGUAACGGCUCACCUAGGCGACGAUCCCUAGCUGGUCUGAGAGGAUGACCAGCCACACUGGAACUGAGACACGGUCCAGACUCCUACGGGAGGCAGCAGUGGGGAAUAUUGUACAAUGGGCGAAAGCCUGAUGCAGCCAUGCCGCGUGUGUGAAGAAGGCCUUCGGGUUGUAAAGCACUUUCAGCGGGGAGGCGGUACCCGAAGAAGAAGCACCGGCUAACUCCGUGCCAGCAGCCGCGGUAAUAC